rnacentral:other from 1 species
CAUCCCCUGCGGUGCUCGUCAGGUGCGGGUGUACUCUUGAGCCUUAAAAUGGCACCCCGGGUGCAGGUUCGUCAGUGCUGUGUGCAGGUCCGCCCCGAGCGGAAAGCCUAAUGAGCUGACUACUGCUCCCACUUGAACCUCAGGUUCAAGAGCAGAUGCGCCGACGGCACAGGCGGAGGAUGC